rnacentral:siRNA from 1 species
GGCGGUUGCGGUUUCAAGCGUUA